AAGGAAGAACGAAGUCGUGAACUGUAUUCAUGCUCAACUGCAGAUCAUCAUUUAGUGUGUGCCGACAUUUCUUGCUCCUUUACUAAAGAGAGGAGUGCUGCAGGUAUAGAAACUGGAAUCUUGUUCUUGUAGAACAAUAGUGCACUGCACUGUGUGUGCAUGUAAUACGUAUACACUGAGUACAAAGCAUUUUUUUUUGCAAAGGAACCAUAUACAUAGACACGUGUACCAAUCGCUUUAUCGCUUCCAAGAGUUCCAAG